GAUCUAAAGCGGCAAAGGGACAGGGAUAGGUAUGCAAGGCUGACAGAUGAGCAAAAGGCCCAAAGGAAUGCAAAAAGAAGGGAGAAUUAUGCCCGGAAGAAGGCCGGAAUCAGUCAACAAGUUCCAUUUGCGUCUGGUAAUGAUUCAAAAAAUAUGACAGAUUCAGAUGUUGCUAUUGCUGCGCCAGCAUCAGGAUUGACACAACUUUUUGCCAUCCAUGAAAACGGUGAGGGUGUACUUCCCUUGAUUUUGCCCGACCAGGAAGUGUCCACCAUGCUACAAACAGUUCUUGGCAAUGCUGACACAUCAUUAGAUUCAAGCAUCCUUUCGGGAUUCAUGAGAGCGAUAACAAUAUGAUUACCAAUCAUGGUAACAGUGCUAUUUUUGCGAGCAAUCAAUCUUUGGUGUACACACCUGAUAGUAUGGGACUUGAAUUGA